CCAAAAUUUGAGAUAGGCAAGUAUCUUCUGACACCUGUACUAAUAUAUUUUCAGUACUUAGUUGAGUAUAUAAUAAUUUCUAAUAAAUAUUUUUUUUAUUAUUUAUUUGUAGGUGCGUUCUUCUGAUGUUUAUAAAUACAGGCAUAUGAUGAAAACAUUCAUCAUUAUAGUAAAAAAAUCUUUAUGCUUCAGCUCAAUUUUUUUUGUUUCAAGUUCUUAAAGCUAAAUUCAUAUCAUCUUGCUUGAUUUAACUUGAUCUGCUAUUUUAUUAUUUCAUGUAGUAUCUUCCAAUUGAAAGUUUAGCUGCUUUCAACAAGAUAACUACUAACUUAUUG
rnacentral:lncRNA from 1 species